GUAACCGUCGGGAUAGCUCAGCUGGUAGAGCAGAGG
rnacentral:tRNA from 22 species